rnacentral:rRNA from 1 species
CUUCCGUAGGGUGAACCUGCGGAAGGAUCAUUAACGAAUAACUAUGGCGUUGGUUGUAGCUGGCUCCUCGGAGCAAUGUGCACGCCCGCCAUUUUUAUCUUUCCACCUGUGCACCGACUGUAGGUCUGGAUACCUCUCGCCUCCGGGCGGAUGCGAGGGUUGCUCGUAAGGGCUUCCCUUGAACUUCCAGGCUCUACGUCUUUUUACACACCCCAAUAGUAUGAUGCAGAAUGUAGUCAAUGGGCUUCUCAGCCUAUAAAACACUAUACAACUUUCAGCAACGGAUCUCUUGGCUCUCGCAUCGAUGAAGAACGCAGCGAAAUGCGAUAAGUAAUGUGAAUUGCAGAAUUCAGUGAAUCAUCGAAUCUUUGAACGCACCUUGCGCUCCUUGGUAUUCCGAGGAGCAUGCCUGUUUGAGUGUCAUUAAAUUCUCAACCUCACCAGUUUUCUGAACUGACUGAGGCUUGGAUGUGGGGGUUUGUGCAGGCUGCCUCACCGGCGGUCUGCUCCCCUGAAAUGCAUUAGCGAGGUUCAUGCUGGACCUCCGUCUAUUGGUGUGAUAAUUAUCUACGCCGUGGACGAGGAUACAGACUCGCUUCUAACCGUCCGCGAGGACAAUAGCUUGACAAUUUGACCUCAAAUCAGGUAGGACUACCCGCUGAACUUAAGCAUAUCAAUAAGCCGGAGGAAG